rnacentral:rRNA from 1 species
AUUGCACGCUGGCGGCAGGCCUAACACAUGCAAGUCGAACGAGUGGCGGACGGGUGAGUAAUGUCUGGGAAACUGCCUGAUGGAGGGGGAUAACUACUGGACACGGUAGCUAAUACCGCAUACCAUCCGAUGUUCCCAGAUGGGAGUCGCGAGUUGGGGGGGGAACGGCUCACAAAGGAGACGAUCCGUAGCUGGUCUGAGAGGAUGACCAGCCACACUGGAACUGAGACACGGACCAGACUCCUACGUGAGGCAGCAGUGGGGAAUAUUGCACAAUGGGCGCAAUCCUGAUGCAGCCAUGCCGCGUGUAUGAAGAAGGCCUUCGGGUUGUAAAGUACUUUCAGCGGGGAGGCGUUACCCGCAGAAGAAGCACCGGCUAACUCCGUGCCAGCAGCCGCGGUAAUAC